UGGGGAAUUUUGGACAAUGGGCGAAAGCCUGAUCCAGCAAUGCCGCGUGUGUGAAGAAGGCCCUCGGGUUGUAAAGCACUUUUGUCCGGAAAGAAAUCCUUGGCUCUAAUACAGUCGGGGGAUGACGGUACCGGAAGAAUAAGCACCGGCUAACUACGUGCCAGCAGCCGCGGUAAUACGUAGGGUGCAAGCGUUAAUCGGAAUUACUGGGCGUAAAGCGUGCGCAGGCGGUUUGCUAAGACCGAUGUGAAAUCCCCGGGCUCAACCUGGGAACUGCAUUGGUGACUGGCAGGCUAGAGUAUGGCAGAGGGGGGUAGAGUUCCACGUGUAGCAGUGAAAUGCGUAGAGAUGUGGAGGAAUACCGAUGGCGAAGGCAGCCCCCUGGGCCAAUACUGACGCUCAUGCACGAAAGCGUGGGGGAGCAAAACAGGAUUAGAUACCCCUGGUAGUCCACGCCCUAAACGAUGUCAACUAGUUGUUGGGGAUUCAUUUCCUUAGUAACGUAGCUAACGCGUGAAGUUGACCGCCUGGGGAGUACGGUCGCAAGAUUAAAAC
rnacentral:rRNA from 1 species